GAUGAACGCUGGCGGCGUGCCUAAUACAUGCAAGUCGAACGAAACUUCUUUAUCACCGAGUGCUUGCACUCACCGAUAAAGAGUUGAGUGGCGAACGGGUGAGUAACACGUGGGCAACCUGCCCAAAAGAGGGGGAUAACACUUGGAAACAGGUGCUAAUACCGCAUAACCAUAGUUACCGCAUGGUAACUAUGUAAAAGGUGGCUAUACUACCGCUUUUGGAUGGGCCCGCGGCGCAUUAGCUAGUUGGUAGGGUAAAGGCUUACCAAGGCAAUGAUGCGUAGCCGAAUUGAGAGGUUGAUCGGCCACAUUGGGACUGAGACACGGCCCAAACUCCUACGAGAGGCAGCAGUAGGGAAUCUUCCACAAUGGGCGAAAGCCUGAUGGAGCAACGCCGCGUGGGUGAAGAAGGUCUUCGGAUCGUAAAACCCUGUUGUUAGAGAAGAAAGUGCGUGAGAGUAACUGUUCACGUUUCGACGGUAUCUAACCAGAAAGCCACUGCUAACUACGUG
rnacentral:rRNA from 1 species